AUUGAACGCUGGCGGCAGGCCUAACACAUGCAAGUCGAGCGGAGCGGCGGACGGGUGCGUAAUGCCUAGGAAUCUGCAUGGGAGUGGGGGAUAACGUCCGGAAACGGGCGCUAAUACCGCAUAAUAUCAGAUGAGCCUAGGUCGGAUUAGCUAGUUGGAUGGGGAAAGGCGUACCAAGGCGACGAUCCGUAACUGGUCUGAGAGGAUGAUCAGUCACACUGGAACUGAGACACGGUCCAGGCUCCUACGGGACGCAGCAGUGGAGAAUAUUGGACAAUGGGCGAAAUCCUAGUCCAGCCAUGCCGCGUGUGUGAAGAAGGUCUUCGGAUUUUGAAGCACUUUAAGUUGGGAGGCGUUACCAACAGAAUAAGCACCGGCUAACUUCGUGCCAGCAGCCGCGGUAAUUC
rnacentral:rRNA from 1 species